rfam:Dipodomys ordii contig_2695, whole genome shotgun sequence.
GGUGGCUCAGUGGUAGAGCACUUGCCUUGCAUGCAUAAGGCCCUGGGUUCGAUUCCUCAGCACCA